UCCCGGUUCACCCGGGCAGUCUCGUUAGAGUUCCCACCAUCACGUGCUGGCAACUAACGAUAAGGGUUGCGCUCGUUGCGGGACUUAACCCAACACCUCACGGCACGAGCUGACGACAGCCAUGCAGCACCUGUGCAAAGACCCUUGCGGGAGAAGCUAUCUCUAGCUCUGUCCUUUGCAUGUCAAACCUGGGUAAGGUUCUUCGCGUUGCAUCGAAUUAAACCACAUGCUCCACUGCUUGUGCGGGUCCCCGUCAAUUCUUUUGAGUUUCACCCUUGCGAGCGUACUCCCCAGGCGGUAUACUUAUCGCGUUAGCUUCGGCACAGCUGGGGUUGAGACCAACUACACCAAGUAUACAUCGUUUACGGCAAGGACUAC
rnacentral:misc_RNA from 1 species